AUGGGGUUGGGCUCCAAUAACUGUUAGGUGAGGACCCAAUGACGGCUUUAUUUCUGCGGGAUAUAUGGUGGGUCUGACUUAACCAAGGAACGGGGCCAAUAACUGUUAGGUGAGGUCCUUAUGACUUGGAGACCAAGUUGGCUACAACUUGCUUGAGAAGCAUUGUACAAGAAGUUGUACACUCAUCGUUUAUAUGUCACCAAUAACUGUUAGGUGAGGUAACAUGUAAAUUGGUGGGAC
rnacentral:lncRNA from 1 species